rnacentral:rRNA from 1 species
CAGGCUGCAACCCGCCUGCACGAAGUCGGAAUUGCUAGUAAUCGUAGGUCAGCAUACUACGGUGAAUACGUUCCCGGGCCUUGUACACACCGCCCGUCAAACCAUGAGAGUUGGCAACACCCGAAGUCGGUAGUCUAACCGCAAGGAGGACGCCGCCGAAGGUGGGGUUGAUGAUUAGGGUUAAGUCGUAACAAGGUAAC